rnacentral:tRNA from 2 species
GCAUGGGUGGUUCAGUGGUAGAUUUCUCGCCUGUCACGCGGGUGGCCCGGGUUGAAUUCCCUGCCCAUGCA